rnacentral:rRNA from 1 species
GACGAACGCUGGCGGCGUGCCUAAUACAUGCGAGUCGAACGCUUCUUUCCUCCCGAGUGCUUGCACUCAAUUGGAAAGAGGAGUGGCGGACGGGUGAGUAACACGUGGGUAACCUACCCAUCAGAGGGGGAUAACACUUGGAAACAGGUGCUAAUACCGCAUAACAGUUUAUGCCGCAUGGCAUAAGAGUGAAAGGCGCUUUCGGGUGUCGCUGAUGGAUGGACCCGCGGUGCAUUAGCUAGUUGGUGAGGUAACGGCUCACCAAGGCCACGAUGCAUAGCCGACCUGAGAGGGUGAUCGGCCACACUGGGACUGAGACACGGCCCAGACUCCUACGGGAGGCAGCAGCAGGGAAUCUUCGGCAAUGGACGAAAGUCUGACCGAGCAACGCCGCGUGAGUGAAGAAGGUUUUCGGAUCGUAAAACUCUGUUGUCAGAGAAGAACAAGGACGUUAGUAACUGAACGUCCCCUGACGGUAUCUAACCAGAAAGCCACGGCUAACUACGUG